ensembl:rRNA 5S_rRNA 5S ribosomal RNA
GAUGUUGGCUAUACCACCCUAAACACACCCAAUCUCUUAAAAGUUAAGCAGGGCUGGGCCUGGUUAGUAUUUGGAUGGGAGAAUCUCUGAGAAAAUGAACUAUUAAAGUGA